GGAGAGUUGGCAGAGUGGUCGAAUGCGGUAGUCUUGAAAACUAUUGUACCGCAAGGUACCGGGGGUUCGAAUCCCUCACUCUCCG
rnacentral:tRNA from 1 species